UGGGCUCCCAGGCGAGACCACCAGCCUCAGAGUACCGGAAUAAAUCAGGGGCAGACUAUGGCUGGUAAGUUUUCAAUAAGAGUGUAGGCAAUAAAAAUGAUGUGUCUACCACAGGCUGGGCUGGGGUCAUCAAGGGAGAGGGAGAGAUUUGGGUAGCUGGUGACUUCAGAUGAGGUGGAUUAGGACAGUCAAGAAUUCGGGACUGGGUUUUUUGGCGCCUUUUUCUGUUCUGAGGCUUUCUAAGUGGGCGGGGUUGGAGGGAGAGAGAGAGAAAAUUGGAAUUUACUGGGGGUAGGGGAGCUGGGGACUCCAACCAAACAGGUGACAAACAGUAUUGCCAGUUGUUCUGGCCCCAAAUGUAUCUUUUAAUAAUUCUCUCACCAAAUUUGAACCUGCUCUAAUAGAAAUCUUGGUGUCUGACUUCCUGGAUGCUCUACUUGGGAAUGGAGGGAGCCCUUUUUUUCCGUUGUUUGCGUCUCUGACUGACCCCUUCUGAGUUUCAGUUCUGCAAUACAUAGCAUUUAGUCUUCUAUUUCCCAUUCCUGGCUUCCCUUUCUCACACCCACCCGGGGUCAGCCUCUCCCAGCAUCCCCAUCUUCCCAUCCCGUUCGCGCAGUCUUUCCCUCUCUUUCGGCCUCGCUUUGCUCUAAUCCUCGCGUUCCCCUCUCUCCAGAAGCGUUCCUUUCAUUUCCUUGCUGGAGAGGCGGCCCCCGAACCACACAGCAGCACCGUUCCCCCGGGACCUCCCCAGGCUCGGCCGUUGAAGGAGGCGUGGCCCACGAAUAACAGGUCUCCUGCCGCACACUCCGCGGGCCCGAGCGCAGACAAAGACAUUCCACGGCGCCCGCCCCCUCCGCGCACUCCGCCCGAGGGAGGGGGAGGGGAGACACGUGUACCGCUAGCGCCGGGUCACGUGGAAAAGGAAAAGAAACGAACGAAGGCGGCCGGCGUCUGCGCAGGCGCAAUAAACUCGGAGCCUGAGUGGGGAGGCUACGUCUUCAGUCGGCGCAGGCGUCGUGGCCCAACUGGGGACUUUGUUCUCCGCGGAGAAACUCAAGGGCGGUGCCGGUAGGCGCCUGCGCACGCGCGCCGCCUCAUUUCCGGUGCUCUCUCGCUGGGUCGCUCGGGUCGGCUUCGGUCGCUGUCGCUCCCGUUCUUCCACCCCCGCCAACCGCCGCUCGGGCCUCAGCGCCGUCGCGUCGCUUCCUCGCUCGCUCGCCACACAUCAUUCCUGAUGCAGCGCCGGGACGACCCUGCCGCGCGCCUCACCCGGUCCUCGGGCCGCAGCUGCUCCAAGGACCCGUCAGGUGCCCACCCCUCGGUGCGUCUGACCCCGUCUCGGCCGUCGCCGCUUCCUCACCGGUCCCGGGGAGGCGGAGGUGGGCCCAGAGGAGGCGCUCGGGCCUCGCCCGCUACGCAGCCGCCGCCGCUGCUGCCUCCCUCUAAUCCGGGUCCCGACGCGACUGUGGUGGGUUCCGCGCCGACCCCGCUACUGCCCCCGUCAGCCACAGCCGCGGCCAAGAUGGAGCCGGAGAAUAAGUACCUGCCUGAACUCAUGGCUGAGAAGGACUCGCUCGACCCGUCCUUCACUCACGCCAUGCAGCUGCUGUCCGUAGAAAUUGAGAAGAUUCAGAAGGGAGAGUCAAAAAAAGAUGACGAGGAGAAUUAUUUGGACUUAUUUUCUCAUAAGAACAUGAAGCUGAAAGAGCGGGUACUGAUCCCUGUCAAGCAGUAUCCAAAGUUCAAUUUUGUGGGGAAGAUUCUUGGACCACAAGGAAAUACAAUCAAAAGACUCCAGGAAGAGACUGGUGCAAAGAUCUCUGUCUUGGGGAAGGGUUCGAUGAGAGACAAAGCCAAGGAGGAAGAGUUGCGCAAGGGUGGAGACCCCAAAUAUGCCCAUUUAAAUAUGGAUCUGCAUGUCUUCAUUGAAGUCUUUGGACCCCCAUGUGAAGCUUAUGCUCUUAUGGCCCAUGCUAUGGAAGAAGUCAAGAAAUUUCUAGUACCAGACAUGAUGGAUGAUAUCUGCCAGGAGCAGUUUCUAGAAUUGUCCUACUUGAAUGGAGUUCCUGAACCCUCUCGUGGUCGUGGGGUGUCUGUGAGAGGACGAGGAGCUGCCCCUCCUCCUCCACCUGUUCCCAGAGGACGUGGUGUUGGGCCACCUAGAGGGGCUUUGGUUCGUGGAACCCCAGUAAGAGGCUCCAUCACCAGAGGUGCCACUGUGACUCGAGGGGUGCCACCCCCACCUACUGUGAGGGGUGCUCCAACACCGAGAGCUCGGACAGCUGGUAUUCAGAGAAUACCUUUGCCUCCAACACCUGCACCAGAAACAUACGAAGAUUAUGGAUAUGAUGAUUCAUAUGCAGAACAGAGCUACGAAGGCUAUGAAGGCUAUUACAGCCAGAGUCAAGGGGAGUCAGAGUAUUAUGACUAUGGACAUGGGGAGCUUCAAGAUUCUUAUGAAGCCUAUGGACAAGAUGACUGGAAUGGGACCAGGCCAUCACUGAAGGCUCCUCCAGCUAGGCCAGUGAAGGGAGCAUACAGAGAGCACCCAUAUGGACGUUAUUAAAAACAAACAGGAGGGGAAAAUAUCAGUUAUGAGCAAACUUGUUACUGAUUUCUUGUAUCCCAGGAUUCCUGUUGCUUUACCCACAACAGACAAGUGACUGAAAAUUCCUGAGGCUUUUCCUGGAAUAGACUGGGUAUUGGAGACCCAUGUCAGGAAAGGCAGACGGUGAGAGUGAAGUAGUAAGUCAAAGAAGAAGGCGUUGUCUCUCAGUUGCUACCCAGUGUUCCAGCUGUCAAAGGAGCCUGGAUACCAGGAGCUACCUGCUGUAUAGAGGCUGGCCUGGGGCACUUCCUGGGACAUAGAAACCCAGGAGAGGAGCUCAACAGUUGUGUUUCACCCUACCUCUUGAUCUGAGUUUCCCACAGAAAGCCAGCCAGGAUCUUUAGGCCCAUAUGGAGUCCUCAGUGCUUCAGGGAACUCAUUGCUAACAGUUCUAACUACUCAAGACAUUGGAGGGGCUGGGGUUUUAACUCCGUGAACACUUCACUUGCACGUGUAGAGGAUCUGGGUUCAUUCAAUAAAUGAAUAAAUAUAAGAAAGUAAAUAAAUAGCCUUUAAAGAAUUGAAAGGCAACAAGCAUGGUGGCACACACCAUUAAAUCUCGGCUCUUAGGAGGCAGAGACUGAUGGAUCCUGGAGUUCAAAGCCAACCUGAGCAAGUUCUAGGACAGCCAGGUCUACACAGAGAAGCUGGUCAUGAAAAGCCAAAGACCAGGGUCUAAACACCUGGCGUGGCUCUCCAGGUCAGAACACACUCCACUCCUGGGCUAUUCCCAGUCUUGUUUCCACUUAGCAUCCAUAGAAUGUGCUGGAACCUACUACUGUCUAUGCCCCACUGCCACACUUUUAUUGGAAGCUUUACUCUAGGAGCCCUUGGCCAGAGGGCUCCCAGAAAAGAUAGUUACCCUCUCUGUAAUACAUGAAGGGAAGUUGAGAAUCGUCUACUUAGGGUAAGACAUUUUAAACUCCGGGCCUGUGCUCCUCUUUGUUGUUAGCACUCGUCCACGUGUUCUUGAAGAGUGGGGCUGCUCUGCGUCACCUCUGUACUAUUCCCAAGUAUCUGCUUCUGCAUGAAGAGUUCAAUAAAGGUUUGGUCACGUGAUGAACAGCAAA